rnacentral:rRNA from 1 species
CGUGUGCUUACAAGUAGUCAGAGCCCGUUAAUGGGUGAUGGCGUGCCUUUUGUAGAAUGAACCGGCGAGUUACGAUUUGAUGCAAGGUUAAGCAGUAAAUGUGGAGCCGUAGCGAAAGCGAGUCUGAAUAGGGCGUUUAGUAUUUGGUCGUAGACCCGAAACCAGGUGAUCUACCCUUGGUCAGGUUGAAGUUCAGGUAACACUGAAUGGAGGACCGAACCGACUUACGUUGAAAAGUGAGCGGAUGAACUGAGGGUAGCGGAGAAAUUCCAAUCGAACCUGGAGAUAGCUGGUUCUCUCCGAAAUAGCUUUAGGGCUAGCCUCAAGUGAUGAUUAUUGGAGGUAGAGCACUGUUUGGACGAGGGGCCCCUCUCGGGUUACCGAAUUCAGACAAACUCCGAAUGCCAAUUAAUUUAACUUGGGAGUCAGAACAUGGGUGAUAAGGUCCGUGUUCGAAAGGGAAACAGCCCAGACCACCAGCUAAGGUCCCAAAAUAUAUGUUAAGUGGAAAAGGAUGUGGCGUUGCCCAGACAACUAGGAUGUUGGCUUAGAAGCAGCCAUCAUUUAAAGAGUGCGUAAUAGCUCACUAGUCGAGUGACACUGCGCCGAAAAUGUACCGGGGCUAAACAUAUUACCGAAGCUGUGGAUUGUCCUUUGGACAAUGGUAGGAGAGCGUUCUAAGGGCGUUGAAGCAUGAUCGUAAGGACAUGUGGAGCGCUUAGAAGUGAGAAUGCCGGUGUGAGUAGCGAAAGACGGGUGAGAAUCCCGUCCACCGAUUGACUAAGGUUUCCAGAGGAAGGCUCGUCCGCUCUGGGUUAGUCGGGUCCUAAGCUGAGGCCGACAGGCGUAGGCGAUGGAUAACAGGUUGAUAUUCCUGUACCACCUAUAAUCGUUUUAAUCGAUGGGGGGACGCAGUAGGAUAGGCGAAGCGUGCGAUUGGAUUGCA